AGAGUUUGAUCCUGGCUCAGGAUGAACGCCGGCGGUGUGCCUAAUACAUGCAAGUCGUACGCACUGGCCCAACUGAUUGAUGGUGCUUGCACCUGAUUGACGUUGGAUCACCAGUGAGUGGCGGACGGGUGAGUAACACGUAGGUAACCUGCCCCGGAGCGGGGGAUAACAUUUGGAAACAGAUGCUAAUACCGCAUAACAACAAAAGCCACAUGGCUUUUGUUUGAAAGAUGGCUUUGGCUAUCACUCUGGGAUGGACCUGCGGUGCAUUAGCUAGUUGGUAAGGUAACGGCUUACCAAGGCGAUGAUGCAUAGCCGAGUUGAGAGACUGAUCGGCCACAAUGGAACUGAGACACGGUCCAUACUCCUACGGGAGGCAGCAGUAGGGAAUCUUCCACAAUGGGCGCAAGCCUGAUGGAGCAACACCGCGUGAGUGAAGAAGGGUUUCGGCUCGUAAAGCUCUGUUGUUGGAGAAGAACGUGCGUGAGAGUAACUGUUCACGCAGUGACGGUAUCCAACCAGAAAGUCACGGCUAACUACGUGCCAGCAGCCGCGGUAAUACGUAGGUGGCAAGCGUUAUCCGGAUUUAUUGGGCGUAAAGCGAGCGCAGGCGGUUGCUUAGGUCUGAUGUGAAAGCCUUCGGCUUAACCGAAGAAGUGCAUCGGAAACCGGGCGACUUGAGUGCAGAAGAGGACAGUGGAACUCCAUGUGUAGCGGUGGAAUGCGUAGAUAUAUGGAAGAACACCAGUGGCGAAGGCGGCUGUCUGGUCUGCAACUGACGCUGAGGCUCGAAAGCAUGGGUAGCGAACAGGAUUAGAUACCCUGGUAGUCCAUGCCGUAAACGAUGAGUGCUAGGUGUUGGAGGGUUUCCGCCCUUCAGUGCCGGAGCUAACGCAUUAAGCACUCCGCCUGGGGAGUACGACCGCAAGGUUGAAACUCAAAGGAAUUGACGGGGGCCCGCACAAGCGGUGGAGCAUGUGGUUUAAUUCGAAGCUACGCGAAGAACCUUACCAGGUCUUGACAUCUUGCGCUAACCUUAGAGAUAAGGCGUUCCCUUCGGGGACGCAAUGACAGGUGGUGCAUGGUCGUCGUCAGCUCGUGUCGUGAGAUGUUGGGUUAAGUCCCGCAACGAGCGCAACCCUUGUUACUAGUUGCCAGCAUUAAGUUGGGCACUCUAGUGAGACUGCCGGUGACAAACCGGAGGAAGGUGGGGACGACGUCAGAUCAUCAUGCCCCUUAUGACCUGGGCUACACACGUGCUACAAUGGACGGUACAACGAGUCGCAAGCUCGCGAGAGUAAGCUAAUCUCUUAAAGCCGUUCUCAGUUCGGACUGUAGGCUGCAACUCGCCUACACGAAGUCGGAAUCGCUAGUAAUCGCGGAUCAGCAUGCCGCGGUGAAUACGUUCCCGGGCCUUGCACACACCGCCCGUCA
rnacentral:rRNA from 1 species